rnacentral:lncRNA from 1 species
CUUUCGGAGCUGUGCGGCAUUCUGAGCAGGAAUGGCAGUGUGGACCUCUGUGAUGGGACAUCUUGUGGGAUCUCACAGCCAGUUCUGUGGCAAAGGAGGAUGAAGGCUUACGAGGACUCGUCAGGAAGCUGGAUAACAGAGCGAGCGCAAUGUGCUAGAAUAGAAGACCAGAAAAUGAAAUGGGCUCCUGUGACAAGUGGACAUGCAGUGACUGCACCUUUGUUUCUGAGGUGCCUGGAUGGAGGCUCAAAUAGAAGAUGGUGUCAGAUAUAUUGUGUUAAAAUUUUACCAUUAAAGUGUAUUAUAACAUGAA